rnacentral:rRNA from 1 species
GCUUAACGCGAAGAACCUUACCCACCUUUGACAUGUACGGAAUUUGCCAGAGAUGGCUUAGUGCUCGAAAGAGAACCGUAACACAGGUGCUGCAUGGCUGUCGUCAGCUCGUGUCGUGAGAUGUUGGGUUAAGUCCCGCAACGAGCGCAACCCUUGCCAUUAGUUGCUACAAAAGGGCACUCUAAUGGGACUGCCGGUGACAAACCGGAGGAAGGUGGGGAUGACGUCAAGUCCUCAUGGCCCUUAUAGGUGGGGCUACACACGUCACACAAUGGCUGGUACAAAGGGUUGCCAACCCGCGAGGGGGAGCCAAUCCCAUAAAACCAGUCGUAGUCCGGAUCGCAGUCUGCAACUCGACUGCGUGAAGUCGGAAUCGCUAGUAAUCGUGGAUCAGCAUGUCACGGUGAAUACGUUCCCGGGUC